GCGGCCGCUGCCCCUGCCCCUGCCCCUGCGGCGCCGGCUGGGCCGAGCUCGCGGGCUCCGCCGCCGCCAUCGCGACCCCACGCGCGCGGUCGGCCCCGCGCCCGCCGCCCCCGCCCGCGGCCACCUGCCGGGUCGGCUCCGCCGCGGCCGCCCCGCCGCCGGCCGAGGCGCGACCAAGGGUCCCGAGCUCCUGCAAACAACAGGAGGAGGAGCCGGGAGGAGGCGUGCGCGGAGCCUGUGCGGGUCGCGGGGACGCCCUGCUGUUGGCCAGCUGCCCGCGGGAAGGGCGAGCCCUGCAGCUACGCGCGGAGGAGAAAGGACUUCUCUGGGGCCGAAACUCACUAUCUCCAGUGGCUGUCAGUUCCUGAGAAGCUGGUUGGGCCCUUCGGUCGCAGAGGGGCAGUAGCCUCCGGUCACUGGUCCUUGGUCGGUUUCUGCUGUCUGCCCUACUCGAGCUUCAGAAUCCUUUGCAAACAUUUCAGCGGCUUGGACCGAGUGCAGGAUUUUAUUCCGUGGGUCAUCCUUUUGGAUCCGGAAUACAGGAAAAGCAGAAUCAUGGGGAUUUAGGGUUCUGUCCACAUAAGCAGUCAUUCUCACCCUUUAUUUUGUAGAUAGAGAAAAUGAGGUGUUGAGGGAGAGGUGAGGAAUUGCCCAAGGACUCGUCGCUAGACUCCAGAGGUUCUGCAUUUAGAACAGUGCUCUUAAUACCGUUCUGGAAACAAAUCAUAUUAUCUGGAAUAGUAGGCACUCACAGUUGUUUGCGCUUCAGUAAUACCCCCAGCCAUUUGUGGUAAAUGGGAUCGCACACAGAUCUGAGAAAGGUUUUUCUCAUUCCAUUACACACGCUUAACAAUCAGGCUAGAUUUUAAAUGAGUUGGUGUCACACAAAACACUCUGAAUAUAGUAGAUGCUCAAUAAGUAUUAAGUGAGUGGAAAUUCCAUAAGACAGUAAUUCAAGUUUCAUGAAAGAUUUUGCUUACUUUAAAAUAUUAAACUAGCAAGAAAAGGUCAUUGUGAAAUACAGCAUUAACUAGUAAAACUGUACACACCAUUUAUAGCAACAAAUUUAUUUCUUAUUCAUAGGCACAGAACUUUAUUAAUAGCCAGAUAGACUUUAUUUUAAUCAAAGGACUCUAUAAACAAAACUUGGAAUUAAAAAUCUGAGGUAAAACAUGAACAUUUCAGUUAAUAAAACCACUCAAUUUAGCUGGAAAUGUUUUUUCCUAUGUGAUUUGGCAUUAGGAAAAUUUUGCUAAUGAAUUUUAUUGACAAAUUAAUAAAAUUAAUAAACAAUGAUGAUUUCUUAAAAUGGUUUUAAUUUGAAGAGGGAACAUUCUACUAUAGGCGAAGGAACAGGAUUGAUAAAAUUAAUGUUAUCUUUUUUAAACUUACAUUUAUAUUGUGUCUUAGUCAGCUAGGGCUGCCGUAACAAAAACAUCAUAGAUUGGGUGGCUUCAACAACAGAAAUGGAUUUCUCACAGUUGUGGAGGCUGGGAAUUCCAGCGUCAGGCUGCCAGCAUUGGUCGGGUUCUCUGCAAGCCCUGUGCCUGGCUUGCAGGUGGCUGCUUUCUCUCUGUCCGCACAGGGUGGAGAGAGAGCAAGGAAGCUCUCUGGUGUCUCUUCUUCAAGCACACUAAUUCCAUUCCGAGGUCCCACUCUCAAGACCUCAUCUAAACCUAAAACCGCGCAAGCCUCCAUCUCUAAAUACCAUCACACUGUGUGUGGUGUAAGCCUUUAACAUGAGAAUUUGGGAGAAACACAAUUCAUUCCAUAAUAUACUUGGUAAAAAUUA